rnacentral:rRNA from 1 species
AGUGAACGCUGGCGGUAGGCCUAACACAUGCAAGUCGAACGGCAGCACAGUAAGAGCUUGCUCUUACGGGUGGCGAGUGGCGGACGGGUGAGGAAUACAUCGGAAUCUACUUUUUCGUGGGGGAUAACGGAGGGAAACUUACGCUAAUACCGCAUACGACCUACGGGUGAAAGCAGGGGAUCUUCGGACCUUUCGCGAUUGAAUGAGCCGAUGUCGGAUUAGCUAGUUGGCGGGGUAAAGGCCCACCAAGGCGACGAUCCGUAGCUGGUCUGAGAGGAUGAUCAGCCACACUGGAACUGAGACACGGUCCAGACUCCUACGGGAGGCAGCAGUGGGGAAUAUUGGACAAUGGGCGAAAGCCUGAUCCAGCCAUACCGCGUGGGUGAAGAAGGCCUUCGGGUUGUAAAGCCCUUUUGUUGGGAAAGAAAAGCAGCAGGUUAAUACCCCGCUGUUCUGACGGUACCCAAAGAAUAAGCACCGGCUAACUUCGUG